ensembl:snoRNA small nucleolar RNA SNORD2
GAGUGAUAUGAUUUUUCAUCUUUCGGGACUUACCCAAUAAUGGGGACAAACUUUUUGCUGAUCACUC